rnacentral:rRNA from 1 species
AAAUUGAAGAGUUUGAUCAUGGCUCAGAUUGAACGCUGGCGGCAGGCCUAACACAUGCAAGUCGAGUGGUAGCACAGAGAGCUUGCUCUCGGGUGACGAGCGGCGGACGGGUGAGUAAUGUCUGGGAAACUGCCUGAUGGAGGGGGAUAACUACUGGAAACGGUAGCUAAUACCGCAUAAUGUCGCAAGACCAAAGUGGGGGACCUUCGGGCCUCAUGCCAUCAGAUGUGCCCAGAUGGGAUUAGCUAGUAGGUGGGGUAACGGCUCACCUAGGCGACGAUCCCUAGCUGGUCUGAGAGGAUGACCAGCCACACUGGAACUGAGACACGGUCCAGACUCCUACGGGAGGCAGCAGUGGGGAAUAUUGCACAAUGGGCGCAAGCCUGAUGCAGCCAUGCCGCGUGUGUGAAGAAGGCCUUCGGGUUGUAAAGCACUUUCAGCGGGGAGGAAGGCGUUAAGGUUAAUAACCUUGGCGAUUGACGUUACCCGCAGAAGAAGCACCGGCUAACUCCGUGCCAGCAGCCGCGGUAAUACGGAGGGUGCAAGCGUUAAUCGGAAUUACUGGGCGUAAAGCGCACGCAGGCGGUCUGUCAAGUCGGAUGUGAAAUCCCCGGGCUUAACCUGGGAACUGCAUUCGAAACUGGCAGGCUAGAGUCUUGUAGAGGGGGUAGAAUUCCAGGUGUAGCGGUGAAAUGCGUAGAGAUCUGGAGGAAUACCGGUGGCGAAGGCGGCCCCCUGGACAAAGACUGACGCUCAGGUGCGAAAGCGUGGGGAGCAAACAGGAUUAGAUACCCUGGUAGUCCACGCCGUAAACGAUGUCGAUUUGGAGGUUGUGCCCUUGAGGCGUGGCUUCCGGAGCUAACGCGUUAAAUCGACCGCCUGGGGAGUACGGCCGCAAGGUUAAAACUCAAAUGAAUUGACGGGGGCCCGCACAAGCGGUGGAGCAUGUGGUUUAAUUCGAUGCAACGCGAAGAACCUUACCUGGUCUUGACAUCCACAGAACUUAGCAGAGAUGCUUUGGUGCCUUCGGGAACUGUGAGACAGGUGCUGCAUGGCUGUCGUCAGCUCGUGUUGUGAAAUGUUGGGUUAAGUCCCGCAACGAGCGCAACCCUUAUCCUUUGUUGCCAGCGGUUAGGCCGGGAACUCAAAGGAGACUGCCAGUGAUAAACUGGAGGAAGGUGGGGAUGACGUCAAGUCAUCAUGGCCCUUACGACCAGGGCUACACACGUGCUACAAUGGCAUAUACAAAGAGAAGCGACCUCGCGAGAGCAAGCGGACCUCAUAAAGUAUGUCGUAGUCCGGAUUGGAGUCUGCAACUCGACUCCAUGAAGUCGGAAUCGCUAGUAAUCGUAGAUCAGAAUGCUACGGUGAAUACGUUCCCGGGCCUUGUACACACCGCCCGUCACACCAUGGGAGUGGGUUGCAAAAGAAGUAGGUAGCUUAACCUUCGGGAGGGCGCUUACCACUUUGUGAUUCAUGACUGGGGUGAAGUCGUAACAAGGUAACCGUAGGGGAACCUGCGGUUGGAUCACCUCCUUA